AAAUGAAUAGACGGGGGCCCGCACAAGCGGUGGAGCAUGUGGCUUAAUUCGAGGCAACGCGAAGAACCUUACCCGGGCUUGAAAUAUAACGGCUCGCCGGUGAAAGCCGGUUUUCCUUCGGGACUGUUAUACAGGUGCUGCAUGGCUGUCGUCAGCUCGUGCCGUGAGGUGUUCGGUUAAGUCCGGCAACGAGCGCAACCCGUGUCAUCAGUUGCCAACAGGUAAUGCUGGGGACUCUGAUGAGACUGCCCGUGUUAAGCGGGAGGAAGGCGCGGAUGACGUCAAGUCAGUAUGGCCCUUAUGUCCGGGGCUGCACACGUGCUACAAUGGUCGGUACAAUGAGACGCGAAGUCGCGAGGCGGAGCAAAUCUAUAAAACCGGCCUUAGUUCAGAUUGCAGUCUGCAACUCGACUGCAUGAAGUUGGAAUCGCUAGUAAAGGCGUAUCAGCUACGACGCCUUGAAUACGUUCCCGGGCCUUGUACACACCGCCCGU
rnacentral:rRNA from 1 species